GGCUCCUCUAGGACCUGUGAGGUAGGGGCUCCUCUAGGACUUGAGAGGUAUGGACUCCUCUAGGACUUGUGAGGUAAGGGCUCCUCUAGGGCCUGUGAGGUAGAUGCUUCUCUAGGGCCUGUGAGGUAGGGGCUCCUCUAGGUCCUGUGAGGUAGGGGCUCCUCUAGAACUUGAGAGGUAUGGACUCCUCUAGGACUUGUGAGGUAGAGGCUCCUCUAGGGCCUGUGAGGUAGAUGCUUCUCUAGGGCCUGUGAGGUAGGGGCUCCUCUAGGUCCUGUGAGGUAAGGGCUCCUCUAGGACUUGUAAGGUAGGGGCUCCUCUAGGGCCUGUGAGGUAGAUGCUUCUCUAAGGCCUGUGAGGUAAGAGCUCCUCUAGGACUUGUGAGGUAGGGGCUCCUCUAGGGCCUGUAAGGUAGAUGCUUCUCUAAGGCCUGUGAGGUAAGGGCUCCUCUAGGGCCUGUGAGAUAGAUGCUCCUUUAGGGCCUGUAAGGUAGAGGCUCCUCUAGGGCCU